CCUCGCCGUACGCCGUCCGGCCGGCCCCGCAGAUGCUGGUGCGGAUGGAUGGCGAGCGUGAGCGUGUCGACCGGAUGGCCGUGCCGCGCAUGCACCUGCACGACCCGCAUGCGGCCGCCGCCGCCGAGCUCUACGCCCUCGACCAGCGCCGCUUCAAGCAGCUGCAGCAGCAGCAGCAACAGCAGCAACAACAGCAGCAGCAGC